UCGAGAAUAAUUCGCAAUGGGCGAAAGCCUGACGAUGCGACGCCGUGUGAAUGAAGAAGGCCUUCGGGUCGUAAAGUUCUGUCGUCUGUGAGCAAGGGUAUUUUUCUAAUAGGAAGAUACUUUGAGAGUAACAGAAAAGGAAGCACCGGCUAACUCCGUGCCAGCAGCUGCGGUAAUACGGAGGGUGCAAGCGUUAAUCGGAAUUACUGGGCGUAAAGGGUGCGUAGGCGGAUAAGUAAGUCAGACGUGAAAUUCCGGGGCUCAACCCCGGAGCUGCAUCUGAAACUGCUCAUCUAGAGGAAUGGCGGAGAAAACGGAAUUCCACAUGUAGCGGUGAAAUGCGUAGAUAUGUGGAAGAACACCUGUGGCGAAGGCGGUUUUCUAGCCUCCUCCUGACGCUGAGGCACGAAAGCAAGGGGAGCAAACAGGAUUAGAUACCCCCGUAGUCC
rnacentral:rRNA from 1 species